rnacentral:rRNA from 1 species
UACGAAGGGGGCUAGCGUUGUUCGGAAUUACUGGGCGUAAAGGGCGCGUAGGCGGCGUAUCUAGUCAGGCGUGAAAGCCCCGGGCUCAACCUGGGAACUGCGCUUGAUACUGGUAUGCUUGAGUUCGGGAGAGGAGAGUGGAAUUCCCAGUGUAGAGGUGAAAUUCGUAGAUAUUGGGAAGAACACCAGUGGCGAAGGCGGCUCACUGGCCCGAUACUGACGCUGAGGCACGAAAGCGUGGGGAGCAAACAGG